CAGCAGCCGCCGCGGUAAUACGGAGGAUCCAAGCGUUAUCCGGAAUCAUUGGGUUUAAAGGGUCCGUAGGCGGUCUUGUAAGUCAGUGGUGAAAGCCCAUCGCUCAACGGUGGAACGGCCAUUGAUACUGCAGGACUUGAAUUAUUGGGAAGUAACUAGAAUAUGUAGUGUAGCGGUGAAAUGCUUAGAGAUUACAUGGAAUACCAAUUGCGAAGGCAGGUUACUACCAAUUGAUUGACGCUGAUGGACGAAAGCGUGGGUAGCGAACAGGAUUAGAUACCCCGGUAGUCCCUGUCUCUUAUAC
rnacentral:rRNA from 1 species